AUUGAACGCUGGCGGAAUGCUUUACACAUGCAAGUCGAACGGGAGUAGCAAUACUCUAGUGGCGAACGGGUGAGUAACACAUCGGAACGUACCCUGACGUGGGGGAUAACACAUCGAAAGGUGUGCUAAUACCGCAUACGUCCUGAGGGAGAAAGCGGGGGAUCGUAAGACCUCGCGCGUUUGGAGCGGCCGAUGGCGGAUUAGCUAGUUGGUGGGGUAAAGGCCUACCAAGGCGACGAUCCGUAGCUGGUCUGAGAGGACGACCAGCCACACUGGGACUGGGACACGGCCCAGACUCCUACGGGAGGCAGCAGUGGGGAAUUUUGGACAAUGGGCGAAAGCCUGAUCCAGCCAUUCCGCGUGAGUGAAGAAGGCCUUCGGGUUGUAAAGCUCUUUCGGCAGGAACGAAACGGCUCUUUCUAAUACAGGGAGUCAAUGACGGUACCUGAAGAAGAAGCACUGGCUAACUACGUGCCAGCAGCCGCCGUAA
rnacentral:rRNA from 1 species